AUUGAACGCUGGCGGCAGGCCUAACACAUGCAAGUCGAGCGGAGCGGCGGACGGGUGAGUAAUGCCUAGGUAUCUGCCUGGUCGUGGGGGAUAACGUCCGGAACCGGGCGCUAAUAUUGCAUACUAUCAGUUUAGCCUAGGUCGGAUUAGCUAGUUGGUGGGGUAAAGGCCUACCAAGGCGACGAUCCGUCACUGGUCUGAGAGGAUGAUCAGUCACACUGGAACUGAGACACGGUCCAGACUCCUACGGGAGGCAGCAGUGGGGAAUGUUGGACAAUGGGCGAAAGCCUGAUACAGCCAGGCCGCAUGUGUGAAGAAGGUCUUCGGAUUGUAAAGCACUUUAAGUUGGGAGGCGUUACCUACAGAAAAAGCACCGGCUAACUUCGUGCCAGCCGCCGCGGUAAUUC
rnacentral:rRNA from 1 species